rnacentral:rRNA from 1 species
GACGAACGCUGGCGGCGUGCUUAACACAUGCAAGUCGAACGAUGAAGCCGGAGCUUGCUCCGGUGGAUUAGUGGCGAACGGGUGAGUAACACGUGAGCAAUCUGCCCUUGACUCUGGGAUAACUGCGGGAAACUGUAGCUAAUACCGGAUACGACACCUUGGGGCAUCCCAGGGUGUGGAAAGAAUUUCGGUCAAGGAUGAGCUCGCGGCCUAUCAGCUAGUUGGUGAGGUAAUGGCUCACCAAGGCGACGACGGGUAGCCGGCCUGAGAGGGUGACCGGCCACACUGGAACUGAGACACGGUCCAGACUCCUACGGGAGGCAGCAGUGGGGAAUAUUGCACAAUGGGCGAAAGCCUGAUGCAGCAACGCCGCGUGAGGGAUGAAGGCCUUCGGGUUGUAAACCUCUUUUAGCAGGGAAGAAGCGAAAGUGACAGUACCUGCAGAAAAGGCACCGGCUAACUACGUGCCAGCCGCCGCAGUAA